UACGAAGGGGGCUAGCGUUGCUCGGAAUCACUGGGCGUAAAGCGCACGUAGGCGGACUCUUAAGUCGGGGGUGAAAUCCUGGAGCUCAACUCCAGAACUGCCUUCGAUACAGAGAGUCUUCGAGUUCGGGAGAGGUGAGUGGAACUGCGAGUGUAGAGGUGAAAUUCGUAGAUAUUCGCAAGAACACCAGUGGCGAAGGCGGCUCACUGGCCCGAUACUGACGCUGAGGUGCGAAAGCGUGGGGAGCAAACAGG
rnacentral:rRNA from 1 species